CUUUAAUGAAGGAUAAAAGACAUUUAUAACUUUUUGAUUAACUUUGACAAAAAAAACAUAUGGUUAACUAAUAUACACUUAAAACAUCAACACUAAACUCUAAACCAUGAAACAUCAACUCUAAACCCUAAACCUCGAAACAUCAACUCUAAACCCUAAACCCUAAACCAUCAACUCUAAACCCUAAACGUAAACCCUAAACCCUAAAUCUAAACUUAAAACAUCAACUUAAAACCCUAAACACCGAAACAUCAACUCUAAACACUAAACCCUAAACCCUGAAACAUCAACUCUAAACCCUAAACCUUCGAAUCAAAACCCUAAAACAUCAACUCUAAACGCUAAAUCCUAAACCCUAAACCUUCGAAUCAAAACCCUAAA
rnacentral:lncRNA from 1 species